AGAAUCAUCUACUGCUCUAUAUUCCUGGUACACAACGAAGUCGAAACAGUGGAUUCAGAAGCUUGAUCGGAGAAGGGUUCUGCUUUAAUUUAUUGUGCACUAUAUAAUCCGGCAAUUCUCUAAACACCGCCAACAAAAGAAUGGUUGGACCGGGUCCCUAGACGGCGGUCUUUGUCUUCUAAGCUGGCGUCCAUGACCUAGUGUAACAAGGUUCUCUUCGUCGCACCAUCAAGUGCCAUCCACUGUGCCUUCAGCCGCAACUCCAACGUCCAAGUGUGUGCCAUGGGUGGGCUAAACAUGUACUUUUGUAUGGGGGGCUGCCAAUGGCAAUAUUGUAAUAUUGUAGUAUGCU